UCUCGCGGUCACACUUAUUUCUCGAUUCCAAUUGGAAGCAAGUGCGUUCGCGUCGCGGAAAAUCAAGAAAAGAAAAUAGAAGAGAAGCACUGCAAAUGCAUUGUUAUUUUUAAAGUACAACCGCGAUUAGAAGGGCUCAAGGAACAGGUGUUUGUCGACCACUUGACUGGCCAUAAACCAUACAUCAGCGAGAGUUAUCCAAGAAAGGCUAAAAACUGUGCCAACACAGGCAAAUUCUCUUACAUUCGCUGUCGUUUCCCUGUGUGCGUGCGGGUGUGCGUGUGUGUGUGUGCGAAAGAGCGUGUGCAAAUAUAAGUUUUGCCGCGUUGUCUGAUCAGCAGCGAAUUUCAAGCCAAAAGAAGAGAGACAGAGAGAAAGGAGAGGAGCGGAUCGGGUGAAUGUCGCUAAAACACCAGAAGACAUCCUACCAACCGCUCGGAACGGCGGCUGCCAUGGACAACCCGGCGAUGACCCAGAGCGGGAGCAGUGGGGGCAGUCGGAGCAGCCGGGAGGGGCUUUCCGAGACCCACUCGUCACAACAGCUGCUCAGCUCUGACCCCAACAGCAUGGAGAUUCCGAGCAUCCCCAUCCCCGCCGCCGUGCCCUCGCGCCUGACCUCCGUGGGCAGGUCACAGUGGUUCACCGUCAUCGUUCUCUGCUUCGUCAACCUCAUCAACUACAUGGACCGCUUCACGAUCGCAGGAGUACUGACAGAUGUUCGAACUGACUUCAACAUUGGAAAUGACAGCGCUGGACUUCUGCAGACCGUAUUCGUUAUCUCGUAUAUGGUGUGCGCACCCGUCUUUGGAUAUCUGGGUGAUCGCUACUCCCGCCCCUGGAUAAUGGCGGUGGGCGUGGCCCUGUGGAGCACCACCACCCUGCUGGGAUCGUACAUGGAGAGCUUUGGAUGGUUCAUCACCUUCCGGGCGCUGGUCGGGAUCGGCGAGGCCUCGUACAGCACAAUAGCGCCAACGAUCAUCUCGGAUCUCUUCGUGCACGACAUGCGGUCCAAGAUGCUGGCAUUGUUCUACUUUGCCAUACCCGUGGGAUCCGGUCUGGGAUACAUUGUGGGAUCCAAGACCGCUCACCUGGCCAACAACUGGCGCUGGGCCCUUAGGGUCACGCCCAUUUUGGGCAUCGUGGCCGUCCUGCUGAUCGUGCUCAUCAAGGAUCCGGAACGUGGUCACAGCGAGGGAUCGCACAAUCUGGAGGCCACCACUUAUAGACAGGACAUCAAGGCUUUGGUCAAGAACCGCUCCUUCAUGCUCUCCACGGCAGGAUUCACAUGUGUGGCCUUUGUGGCCGGAGCCCUGGCCUGGUGGGGACCUUCCUUCAUCUAUCUAGGCAUGAAGAUGCAGCCCGGCAACGAGAACAUCGUCCAGGACGACAUCUCGUACAAGUUUGGUCUGGUGGCCAUGCUGGCGGGUCUCAUCGGAGUUCCGCUGGGCUCCUUUCUUGCCCAGAGGCUGAGGGGCAACUACGAGAACUGUGAUCCCUACAUCUGUGCGGUGGGACUCUUCAUCUCGGCUCCGAUGGUAUUUGCUGCUCUAGUGGUGCCGCAGACAAGCGAGAGCCUUUGCUUUUUCUUCGUAUUCGUGGCCCAGGUGGCACUAAACCUGUGCUGGUCCAUAGUGGCUGAUAUCCUACUGUAUGUGGUGAUUCCAACACGUCGUUCUACAGCCGAGGCCUUCCAGAUCCUCAUCUCACAUGCGUUGGGCGAUGCCGGCAGUCCUUAUUUGGUGGGAGCGAUCUCCGAGGCCAUCAUGAACCACCUGCACAAGAACCCCAGCGAUUCUGGUCUGACGAACGAAAUGCAGAGCAUGUCCCAAGUGGCGGAGAACCCAAUAAGUAAUGUCACCACGGCGCUCAUGGAAGCAACCACCAAUAUGAUUGAAACAGUGCGCUCAGCCUCGCUUUCCGAUGAAUACACUGACCGGGAACAGUUUGAGGGAUUGCAGUAUGCCCUAUUCUCCACCAGCUUUGUGGAGGUGCUGGGCGGUAUAUUCUUCAUGAUCACCGCCUGUUUUAUCAUCAAGGACAAGAACAAUGCCACGCGAGGAUUGCAAGGCGAACAGGAACCGCGAUCGUCAGCUGCCUCGGCCAGUGGGCAAAAGGACGUUGAGUCCUGCCACUCAGACUGCCUGGUCAUGUGCACUGACAUCGCGCUGCGCGAACGCACGUGAUAACGCGAAUAUGAAAUCUUAAAGUGUGCCCUGGGCACCGAAUGGUUUUUAUUUUCGGCCUAGCUCCCGAUGCCACCACUCAACAGCAGCAGCGGGAGCAGCGCGGUCAGAUUGCCUAAUACCAGCCGAUCCUGGAGAUAAUGCUGCGCACUCAUAGCUCCGAUGGCAUGCCGGGUGAACUGAUACUGACUGAAAACCAUCUAUAAUUUAAACUACGCUUACUCGCACCACGCACAUCCCGCAUCGGAUCGUACUGGAAGCUAAGGGGGACACCCUGCGCCUGCGCUCAGUUCGGCUGACACAAGACCCCUGUGUUCAUGUUCCUAUUAGGAAGAAAAGGAAGGAAGUUUAGAUCGGAAGGAAGGGCCACCAUGCCAACGUUCAAGCACACUUCACUGAUUUGUAGAUAUAUAUACAAACACUCACUCUCACAGGCACUCACCAAGUCAUAACAUUACACAGAUCAUUUUACUUGUAAACGGUAUACACGUAGUCUUAGAUAGGUCUAGCUCUGGUAUUUUAGGCUAAAUCAAAAUUAGACAGAGUUUCAUGCAGGGUUUCGCAUUCGCAGAAGUGCUUCCUCAGUUUGGAUAAUGUAAAUAGAUAUUAUCUCAGGCAUCGAGUGCGAAACGCCUGCAGUUUUGGAUAUUUGGAUAUAAAUGUGUAUGUAUAUUUUAUAUGAAUUGUAAAUAUAAAGAAGCGCCGGGCCAUUGUAUAAGUGCGUAGACUAUUUAAUCAAUUUAGUCUUACUCUGAAGUUAAUUUUAACCAUAGCAUUAGUUAGUUGUGUAACAAAUUGGAAGAAAUGUGUGCACCCUCAACCAUAACUGAAUAUUACAGCGUAACUAUUUUAAGCCAAAAUGGCAUUAA